GACGAACGCUGGCGGCGUGCCUAACACAUGCAAGUCGAGCGAAUGAAGUUCCUUCGGGAACGGAUUUAGCGGCGGACGGGUGAGUAACACGUGGGCAACCUGCCUCAUAGAGGGGAAUAGCCUUCCGAAAGGGAGAUUAAUACCGCAUAAGAUUGUAGUACCGCAUGGUACAGCAAUUAAAGGAGCACUCCGCUAUGAGAUGGGCCCGCGGCGCAUUAGCUAGUUGGUGAGGUAACGGCUCACCAAGGCGACGAUGCGUAGCCGACCUGAGAGGGUGGACGGUCACAAUGGGACUGAGACACGGCCCAGACUCCUACGGGAGGCAGGAGAGGGGGAUAAUGCACGAUGGGGGAAACCCUGAUGCAGCAACGCCGCGUGAGUGAUGACGGCCUUCGGGUUGUAAAGCUCUGUCUUCAGAGACGAUAAUGACGGUACCUGAGGAGGAAGCCACGGCUAACUACGUG
rnacentral:rRNA from 1 species